AAGGAAAAUACUAGAAAUAAGAAAAUUGGGUUUUCUUAUUAAAGUAUUAUUUUCUUUCCCUUUUCCUUUUCUCUUUCUCUCUCUCUCUCCUCUCUCCCCUCUCCCCUCUCCUUCGUGCGUAGCCAGCCCCCACCGACCGAAUGCCCCCUUGCCAAUUUUAAAUUGGCUUCUCUCUCUUUUGUUUCUACUUUUGACUAGUCAAAAGAAAAACCCUCAUUCUUAUCUCUUCUCUCUCUUAUCCCUUCUUCUCUCUCCUCUCUCUUCUCCCCCACUCUCCCUCGUAACCGACUUCUUCUUCUUCCUUCUUCUUUGUGCGAACCAGAAGCCGAAGAAGACAGAAGCCGCAGCCACCGUCGUUUGAAGACAGGAGCAGCUCCGCUGCUCACCGCCCGCCUCCGCUUCUCCCUCGCCCCCUUAGCUGUCUUCGCCACCCCCCUUCUCCUCUUCUCUGUUUCGUGCGAUGACCAGCAGAGACAAAAGCGGAAGCAGCCGCGGACGUCGCCUGAAGACCAGCCGCCAUUGCCGCCGCACCGGAGCCGGACCGCCCGCGCGUCCGCUGCUCGCCGCCGUCCCGCCAUCCGCGCGCGUCCCCGCGUCCAUCGCCUGCUGCCGUCCCUGCCGUGCGACCCAGUUUCUGUUCGGCCUCUGUUCAGCCACCGUGAGUGGCUGAGCAGGUCGCCGGAGCCGCCGUGCAGCCUCGUCGGACCGCCGCCUAUCUUCCCAACCUCUUGCCGCCCCCAACCCUCUCUCUUUCUCUGUGUUUUGCAGCUGAUCCAGCAAACCCACGAAAUGGGUUUCCAGCGGCUUUAGGCCCGCUUUUGGGCCGUUUCCGGGUCCCGGAUCCGUGAGUCGCUUUGGGAAGAAUCGUUCCUCGCGUCGCCGUCGUCGGAUUGAUCCGAUUUGCGCGCGAUUUGGUGAGUAAUCUCACUAAUCCUGGAUUAGUUGGCUAAUUAUGCGUUGGUUUAGAUUUAAUUAAUUAUGUUUAGGUUGUUAGAUUAGAAUAAAUUAGCAAUUAUUAGUCAAUUGUGAUGCGAUUUAAAUAAAUUGAUUGCGCAAUUAACAAGUAGACGUGGUCUACUAAUUAUUGGAAGUGCCUCAGGAUUUUUCCCGACCCUUAGUGGGCUCCAAUUAGGCUUUUCGGGCCUAAGUGGAUUUUUUAGUAUUUAAAUAUUAAUUUUCGGAAUUAAAUUAAAUAAUUAUUUAUUUUCCGGAAAUUCAACUGAGAUGGCCUGGAACCGGAAAAUUAUGCUGAUGACCGUGGUGAAGUCCGUUUAUUUAAUCGGGCUUUAUUUUGAGCUAAAUUGAAUUUUUAAUAUUAAUUAUUUAAUUAAUUAUUUUUCAGAAAUUAAGAUUUUGAUGGCCGAUAACCGAAAUCUCGUGCUGAUCGUCGGGGCGCAGUCCGUUUAUUUAUUUGAGCUCCACGUUGUAUGGAAUUGAAUAAAUUGUGAUAUUUUAGGGAUUUACCCUAAAUUGAUUGGAAUUGAUUCAGAUUGAAUUGUUGAUUGGUAAAUGGCCAAGUAUGUUGUUCAGCAUUUAUAAUGCUUUGUUGAGUUGAUUUAAUUAUUUGAUUGAGAAAUCGUUGGGCAUUGGUUGUCGGUAUUGAAAGUAGAUUGGUAAUCACUUGAAAGAAAACACGUGGGCUCGAUGAAUUGAUGCAUCACUUUGGUAAGAUAGCACCUAAGAGAAUGCACGUGGGCCCGGGCAUCGUAAAAAGGGCACGUGGGCUCGGUGAAUUGAUGCAUCAUUUUGGUGAAAUAGCACCUAAGAGAAUGCACGUGGGCCCAAGUAUCUAAAAGGGCACGUGGGCUCGGUGAAUUGAUGCAUCACUUUGGUGAGAUAGCACCUAAGAGAAUUCACGUGGGCCCGGGCAUCGUAAAAAGGGCACGUGGGCUCGGUGAAUUGAUACAUCACUUUGGUGAGAUAGCACCUAAGAGAAUGCACGUGGGCCCAGGCAUCUAAAAGGGCACGUGGGCUCGGUGACUUGAUGUAUCACUUUGGCGGAAAGGUCGCCUGAGAGAAUGCACGUGGGCCCAAGGUUCGAGGCUUGUGGACUCGGAGACUUGGAAUGUCGUCCUAGAGAAUGCACGUGGCCUCGCUUUUAGAUACUCCUCCGUGGAGAGUGAUUUGUAUGACAUGUAAUCGACUGGUUCGAUUUGUUUUGAAUAAAUGGGUGUCUAUUGUGAAUUGUACUGACUUGCAGGUGAGAUCUAAGGCCAAGGUAAGUCCUUUGCCCUGUGCGUGUUUAGGCAGCCUGUAGUAUAAUAGUUUACUAAUCGGGCUUAGUGGGGUAGAACUCGCUGAGACGUAGUCUCAUCCUAGUUUGGGGAAAACAUUUCAGGACCCCGAUGAGGAGCUGAUGAGGAGGAGUCUGAGAAGGAGAACUCGGAGGUGAGACUUAAGGAGAAAGAUUUUUGGGAGAAGAAGAUAAUCCCGAGAAGGGCCUUGAGUACGGCCUGGAUGGCUGAGAGUUUAUCUUAUUUUGAGAUCUUUUUUUUUUAUGUGAUUAAAGUUUAGAGUAAAAAGUUGUAGAGUGCUCUGGUUUGUGUUUUGUAUAAAAGUUUGGUUAUAAGUUUCAAUAUGAAAAAUAUAACCCUGCUUUUCUAUCCCAUCGUUUUAUUGUCUGGGGAUUUUAACUGCUUCCGCAUGUGCUUAAUAAAUGAAAGGGUCGGCGAUACAUUAUCUUGGGAUAUCGCAUUAUAAAAUCGACCAAGUGAAAAGGAUGUGUGCGUGCCCGAGGAUUGGGGCGUGACAGUUAGCAUCUAGUUGCGGGUUUCAGACAAAGUUAUAUAGUUAGAAAGUUUAAAACUUUACUCGUUGGGUUUGUUUAUGUGUUAUGGGAAGGUUGUUAAAUUUGCGCAUAUACCUGGACUAAAGGUACCGAAGUUAAGCCGAAAUGGGAAAAGGUUACCAAGGUUAGGUUCGGUUUGGUUUGACCUUCAAUUUUGUUAAUUUUUUAUUGAUUUGUGUCAUGCAAAUUUCAUGGGACAUUCUUCACGAAAGUCAUCCCUUAUUGGCCUGUUCUAUGACAUACUAUAAAUUUCAGAUUUUCAAACUUUGUACGACAAAUAUAUAUUUGAAAAACUUUUGAGUUUGAAAUCUGUUUUUAGGGUUAUUGAAUUGACCUAGUUUUACUUUCCAUUUUCCACAGAAUUUUUGGUCAAGAAUUCUAACACAUGUCCCUCAUGAAAGUUGUAGAGUACAUCCUAUACUAUGACAUAUAAAAUUUCCAUGAUUUUUCAAUCUCAUUUAAUCUAUGAAAUAUUUAUCUUUCUGCUCCAUCACGUUCUGGGAAUUACCUAUUGUUUUG
rnacentral:lncRNA from 1 species